AGAAAACUUACCUGGCCGCCUCUCAUCUCUCAUCCAACUCUCUCCCUCUCGCCAUGCAACCGUAAAACCAGGUUCUUAAUUCUAAGAAUGGACAAUACAAAAACUUAAGGGAUAUAAGGGUUAUUGGAAUAUUCAGAUGCUUACCCCGAUGACUCCGGCGGGAUUCCUCCUCUCGACGAAGGUAACUCUUUCCUCGGCUCAGGAAAUCUGUGAUUACAAGAACGAAAAUGAGCCCCCUUUGAUUACAACGAAACCUCCUUUUGUUCGGUUUGAUGGGAGCAGUUAAAUAUUUGGCGUAUGCAAUGACGUUCUCUGAAGAUUUGGGUGCUUCACGUGAUGGUGUUGCAGGACAUUUGGUGGCAGCUCAUACACGUGAAUGAGAACAGCAAUGAAGCACACAUGCACCUCUGAUGACUGACGGGUCAUAUCCGAGCUUGGGCUGAUUCGAAUUAAUUUUCUGGGUUCCUGGAUUUGUUGUAAUUGGGCUACAAAAUAUGUAAUAAUA